rnacentral:rRNA from 1 species
AUACGGAGGAUGCGAGCGUUAUCCGGAUUUAUUGGGUUUAAAGGGUGCGUAGGCGGACGAUUAAGUCAGCUGUGAAAUGCCCGCGCUUAACGCGGGAAGUGCAGUUGAUACUGGUUGUCUGGAGUGCCGUUGCCGUGGGGGGAAUGUGUAGUGUAGCGGUGAAAUGCAUAGAUAUUACACAGAACGCCGAUUGUGAAGACACCUCGCGUAGCGGUAACUGACGCUGAGGCACGAAAGCGUGGGGAUCGAACAGGAUUAGAUACCCUGGUAGUCCGCACAGUAAACGAUGAAUACUCGCUGUUUGCGAUACACUGUAAGCGGCCAAGCGAAAGCGUUAAGUAUUCCACCUGGGGAGUACGCCGGCAACGGUGAAACUCAAAUGAAUUGACGGGG